rnacentral:rRNA from 1 species
UUCGAUGCAGACUUUGAGAGAGAGUUCAAGAGAACGUGAAAUCCUAGUGGUUGAAGCGGAGAGAGUUGACGUAGCUCGGCGGCUAAGCUUACUGUUGCUUCUUCGGAGGCUUCGGUUUGUGGUGUCCGCUUAUAGCUGCGCCGGUGCGUUGUUCGAGCUUUCUGACCUGGUUAGUGUUGCCCACUUCGGUGGUGUCUUGCUGCCGGCGAGGUCUGCCGUAUUAACGUUUAAUUUGUCUCACGACAAGUACCGGUGUGAAGGUCAGCCACCUUUCCGACCCGUCUUGAAACACGGACCGAGGAGUGUAACUUGUACGCGAGUCAGAGGGUGGAAAACCCUACGGCGCAAUGAAAGUAAAGGUCGGUUAACCGGCUGACAUGGGAUCCUUUCUUCGGAGAGGCGCACCAUGGCCCUGUCUUGAGAGCUUGCUCUUGGGCAGAGGUAGAGCGUACAGGUUGCGACCCGAAAGAUGGUGAACUAUGCCCUAAACCCAGUAAAAGUGAAGGUCCUCUUUUAUGAAGGCUGAUAUGCGAUCCGUUGCACUUCGGUGUACGCGGGAGCAGCAUAGCCCCGUCUCGACUGCUUGCAGUGGGGCGGAGGUAGAGCGUAUGCGCUGGUACCCGAAAGAUGGUGAACUAUGCCUGGAAGCAGGAA